AGUCAGUUCCUUCGCAAUAAUUAUCUGUAAACCCCGCCAGGCCCGGAAGGGAGCAACGGUAGCAGUAUUGUUAUGUGCCGGAGUGUUGCUGGCUGAG
rnacentral:SRP_RNA from 1 species